GAUGAACGCUAGCGGCAGGCUUAACACAUGCAAGUCGAGGGGUAUAGUUCUUCGGAGCUAGAGACCGGCGCACGGGUGCGUAACGCGUAUGCAAUCUACCUUUCACAGAGGGAUAGCCCAGAGAAAUUUGGAUUAAUACCUCAUAGUAUAAUGAGUUGGCAUCAACCCAUUAUUAAAGUCACAACGGUGAAAGAUGAGCAUGCGUCCCAUUAGCUAGUUGGUAGGGUAACGGCUUACCAAGGCUACGAUGGGUAGGGGUCCUGAGAGGGAGAUCCCCCACACUGGUACUGAGACACGGACCAGACUCCUACGGGAGGCAGCAGUGAGGAAUAUUGGUCAAUGGACGCAAGUCUGAACCAGCCAUGCCGCGUGCAGGAUGACGGUCCUAUGGAUUGUAAACUGCUUUUGUACGAGAAGAAACACUCCUUCGUGAAGGAGCUUGACGGUAUUGUAAGAAUAAGGAUCGGCUAACUCCGUGCCAGCCGCCGCCGUAA
rnacentral:rRNA from 1 species